GUCGUUACCUAAUUGAUGAUUCCUCCGUCAAACCUUUCACAUGAUUCAGGUUAUUAUCGAUCUAAAUUGGAAUUAUUAUUUAACUUGGAUCAAGUUGCUUACGUUGUCGAGUAUGGGUCAUUAUAAAGUUUUAGUUUUUGGUCAAGUUUAUAUCCGUUAUAUUUGUGGCCAGACUCAGUUUUGUUGCAACGUUAUGAGUGUUAUAAAGAUGCUAUUCUGAAUUGUAGUUGAACAUCCAAUAGUUACAAAGUUAAAGACUUCACAUUUUUCUGGUGAAUGUUUAUUUUUGCAGGAAAUCAAUUUUUUUUUAUGGUGUAUUGUUACAUGAAAGUGUGAGUAUGCUAUUAUGAUUUAUUACUCUGUUUUCAUACUCCCAUAAUAUAUGUGCUAAUAUGUAUGUUUGUGUUUUCAUUCUUGAUAUUUGUCUUAUGGAGAAGCCAAUAGAGCUGCAAGAAAGUAUACAAUAUUGUUCCAACCUACUUGUGCUGCUUUGCUUA
rnacentral:lncRNA from 1 species